rnacentral:rRNA from 1 species
UGGGGAAUUUUGGACAAUGGGCGCAAGCCUGAUCCAGCCAUGCCGCGUGCAGGAUGAAGGCCUUCGGGUUGUAAACUGCUUUUGUACGGAACGAAAAGGUGCCUUCUAAUAAAGGGCGCUCAUGACGGUGCCGUAAGAAUAAGCACCGGCUAACUACGUGCCAGCAGCCGCGGUAAUACGUAGGGUGCGAGCGUUAAUCGGAAUUACUGGGCGUAAAGCGUGCGCAGGCGGUUUUGUAAGACAGAGGUGAAAUCCCCGGGCUCAACCUGGGAACUGCCUUUGUGACUGCAAGGCUGGAGUGCGGCAGAGGGGGAUGGAAUUCCGCGUGUAGCAGUGAAAUGCGUAGAUAUGCGGAGGAACACCGAUGGCGAAGGCAAUCCCCUGGGCCUGCACUGACGCUCAUGCACGAAAGCGUGGGGAGCAAACA